UUUAUGUUUGUGCUGGACUCACAAGUCGU
rnacentral:sRNA from 1 species